rnacentral:lncRNA from 1 species
CUUGUACUGUAUUUGUCUUUUUAAUCAUAAAACUACGAAAAUAAUUAAUUUAUUGAAAAUUCUGUAAUAUUUCAAUAACUGUAUGUACCUAAUCCAUCUAGAAUAUGGCCAGUUUGGAAAAGUUAUUCGAUCCAUCUCUUUUCUUGAGAGAGUGUCUUCGAUCAUGAGCACUUGUGUUCACACGCAUGGUACUUCUUUUAACCCUGAUUAUUUUCACACUCGACUAUUUGAUACCAAUAUAUAGACAGGGCUUUGUUGUGAUUUUAAGAAAUGUUAGUAUAUUCUUAAUUAAUGAAAGAAGAGUGUUAAGUAUUAAAAUAAUUAAAAAAAAUCCUCAUUCAUGUAUAAAAUAAUAAAUGAAGACAAACCUUCAAGCCUUGCUUCCCGGGUUGUGUUUGUUAGCAUUGACAAAUGAGAGUAUCUAUAUUCCUUGUUUCACACUUGUAACUCCUUCACUCAAUUACAUGCAACACCCCAGCCUCACCCCAAGAAAGAAAUUGUUUGUCAUAUCUAACUUUUCAAGUCUUCAAGACAACCCUACUCUCUCUCUCUCUCUCUCUCUCUCUCUCUCACACACACACACACACACACGUACACUCACAGAAACACAAUAUUAAUCACUCCUCUCUCUCUUUAACACACACAAAAGCACAUUGAUUGGUGUCAAAGUGCAAGUGAUGUUGAUGAAAAGGAGUAAAGUUGGGUGUCUCUUAAUAUUUUUGUUCAGUUUUUGGGCUCUACUAGUAGUGGGAGCUAGGCAUCUACAAGACAAACCAAGAAACUAUGAAGAAAAACCUAGUAUUGGGAAUACAACUGUUUCAAGUUCUGCUAAUGGUUCUGAAGGUUUUGUUGCUACCAUCAACAGAGAGGUACCGUCGAGUCCUGAUCCUUUACACAAUCGCUAGAAGAUUCACUAUAAGAAAUUUCGUUGUAAAAAGUCAUUAUUUGGUUGUUUUGUCAAAGAGGUUCAUCGAGAGGCAUUUCAAGACGGCAAUUUUCGAAAGACUUUCAAGACAAAUUUUUGUUGUUAAAGGUGAAAUUUCUUCUAGUGGUGAUUAUAAAGAAAAUGAUACACGUCCAUGUUAAAGAAGUCUUUUUUUUUUUUUUUAAUAUAUAGUUUUGGUUUUGGUAUUUUAAUUAGUUAUCUUUUGGUCCGUAAUUUUGUCUCUUUUCUUUCGUAUUUCACAUGUUACACAGUGACUCGGAUUAACUUCCAGUUUUCAUAAAUCUUAUAAACUUU